rnacentral:rRNA from 1 species
GAUGAACGCUGGCGGCGUGCUUAACACAUGCAAGUCGAACGGGAAUUACUUUAUUGAAACUUCGGUCGAUUUAAUUUAAUUCUAGUGGCGGACGGGUGAGUAACGCGUGGGUAACCUGCCUUAUACAGGGGGAUAACAGUCAGAAAUGGCUGCUAAUACCGCAUAAGCGCACAGAGCUGCAUGGCUCGGUGUGAAAAACUCCGGUGGUAUAAGAUGGACCCGCGUUGGAUUAGCUUGUUGGUGGGGUAACGGCCCACCAAGGCGACGAUCCAUAGCCGGCCUGAGAGGGUGAACGGCCACAUUGGGACUGAGACACGGCCCAGACUCCUACGGGAGGCAGCAGUGGGGAAUAUUGCACAAUGGGGGAAACCCUGAUGCAGCGACGCCGCGUGAAGGAAGAAGUAUCUCGGUAUGUAAACUUCUAUCAGCAGGGAAGAUAGUGACGGUAC